GACCAUCAGGACAUAGGGGGUGGUGCUGGCGCACGGCGCUUACAUGUGUAAUUUGACGCAAACACAGUGCACGCGUCCAUUAAUGCGGAAACGUGGACGCCGAAUCAAUGCUGAGGAGUUUAAAAGGAAGUCAAACAGCUAAAUUCUAUCUGGAUGUGGUAGAGGCAGAUACAAUACAAGGGGUCCUACGGUACAAGAUCUCGGCAAUACGGAUAACAACUGACAGACGCCAGCCAAUUUGCUGUCCCGCUGCACCAGAGCAAAGCGAUAGAAAUAUGGGCAGAAGAGUGACCCUUUGGCUGUGUCGCCCAUCCAUCCGAACCCGGUGGUGGGCUGGCCACCGUGGUAAUUGCCUGCGAAACAGUGUUUUGACAAGCCAGACGGGUGUAAGCCAUCAUUCUAGCAGCACAGUGAUGAGGUGUCACCUGGAGAGAGCUGUUGAGAGCCCACAUGUUUACAUGCAGCCAGUGUGGUUCCACAGAGACAGCAGUAAUCCAUUAAGAAGGGGGCUGAUCCUGCGAGGGGUUUGAUGAAGUUGAGGCUCCUCUGCCCCAUGCAGAAGGGCGUUUAGUGCUGCCGGCCCCACAGCCAGUGUGCAGGGAUACAUCACCUGCAUACUCCUGCAUUCUGUUUCAUCAUAGCUCUUCUCUCUCCAGUGCUUCCGAAUGGGCUGGCCACUGGAAUGGCAAACUCGCUUUUUUGUCUGUCAUAUUCAUUUUUAUUAUCUCUCUCUUAUCUAUCUAUACAAUAAAUACAAAAAUGCAGAAAAAGUAAAUAA